rnacentral:rRNA from 1 species
AACGAACGCUGGCGGCAGGCUUAACACAUGCAAGUCGAACGCCCGGGCAACCGGGAGUGGCAGACGGGUGAGUAACGCGUGGGAACGUGCCCUUUGGUUCGGAAUAACUCAGGGAAACUUGAGCUAAUACCGGAUAAGCCCUUACGGGGAAAGAUUUAUCGCCGAAGGAUCGGCCCGCGUCCGAUUAGCUAGUUGGUGUGGUAAUGGCGCACCAAGGCGACGAUCGGUAGCUGGUCAGAGAGGAUGAUCAGCCACACUGGGACUGAGACACGGCCCAGACUCCUACGGGAGGCAGCAGUGGGGAAUAUUGGACAAUGGGGGCAACCCUGAUCCAGCCAUGCCGCGUGAGUGAUGAUGGCCCUAGGGUUGUAAAGCUCUUUCGGCGGGGACGAUAAUGACGGUACCCGCAGAAGAAGCCCCGGCUAACUUCGUGCCAGCCGCCGCAGUAAAAC